rnacentral:rRNA from 1 species
GUAUAGCAAUAGCUAAUUGCACCAGAUAAUAACUGAUGCAAUAUCGACUCUGUCGAAUAAAAUUCUAGGUAGAAUUAUGAUAAUGACAUUAUCUGCCUACAUGUCUUGACCAAAUUACGUGCCAGCAGUCGCGGUAAUACGUAGAAGACUAGUGUUAUUCAUCUUUAAUAGGUUUAAAGGGUACCUAGACGGUAAAUCAAGCCUGCGAGGGGACUAGUAUACUAGAGUUACUUAUGAGGGGGUAUAAAAGUACUAAUGGUGUAGAGAUGAAAUUCUGUCAUACCUCUUUUCGGAAGAAAAACUAUGGCACAGGUAUAGGCGAAAGCAUCCCCUUAUGUGAUAACUGACGUUGAAGGACGAAGGCUUUGUGUCGCGAACAGGAUUAGAUACCCCAGUAGUCAAAGCAGAAAAUGAUGAAUGUCAUAGAUUAGGCAUAUAAUAGCUUAUUCUAUAAAUGAAAGUGUAAGCAUUCCACCUCAAGAGUAAUUUGGCAACAUUGGAACUGAAAUCAUUAGACCGUUUCUGAAACCAGUGGUGAAGUAUGUUGUUUAAUUAGAUAAUCCGCAAAAAACCUUACCACAACUUGAAUAUUUAUGUUUAAUCUUUUAUAAAAAGGAAAUAUAUUUACAAGCGUUGCACGGCUGUCUUCAGUUAAUGUCGUGAGAUUUUGGUUAGUUCCAUUAAAUUAACGUAAACCCUUGCUUUAUUUUUAUAUAAAGCAGUUCCCCACUAGAUUGGAUAUGAUAACAGGGACUAAGACAAGUCAUCAUGGCCUGAAUAUUGUGGGCUAUAGACGUGCCACAUAAACCUUACAAAAGGAUGUGAAAUUGUGAAAUUAAGCUAAU